UUUUAUUAUGGAGAGAUGAGCAAUAAAUGUGAACUUGAGUGGUUUGAUGGAGAUGGAUUAAAAAAUGGAUGAAGUGCUAGUGUCUGGUCGUGGCAUGGUUUUAGUUAGUAACAAUGGAGAAGUGGUGGUUGUUGGAUGGAGAAGACAACAACAAAUAAAUAAAUAACAAAUAAAUAAAAAAGGAUAAAAAAAGUGGAUGACGUGGCCUAAUCAUAGAGAGUGUGAGGAAU
rnacentral:lncRNA from 1 species